ACUGUCUUACCAUUUGUGACGCGGAUUUUUGGUACUUUUCUACAUCUAAAUGAGUCUCAACAACAUCGCAAAAUGUAUGUCGUGACUGAAUACUUUGUCGAUCAACAAAAGAACUUUUAUUUUAUUUGCUACAUAUGUACGCGGCCAUUUAUAUAGAAAUGACUGCACUGAUAGGACCAGGAGCGCUGAUAAUAGGAUACUUGAAACAUAUCUGUGGAAUGUUUAAAAUUGCUAGUUACCGUAUCGAGCAUGCAAUGUCAAUUAACAUGUUUGACAGGAUUUAUCUACGUGAUAAAGCAGAGAUUCAUAAGGAAAUAAUUCGUGCUGUAGACAUUCACUGUAAAGCUAUGGAGUUCGCCAACUUUCUUAUAUCCAAUUUUCAAGACACAUUCGUCAUGUCACAAUUGUUUAACGUACUUUGUUUGAGCCUGAAUCUUUAUUGUGUUUUCCAAGCUGAUUCGUUUAAAGACAAUGUGGACGAAUUUUUAUACACUUUAUGCUUGCAAAUGGUAUUUUUGUGUACUCGUUUGUAGCCAACUAUGCCGGACAAGAAAUUAUUGAUCACUAUAAUUAUAUAUUUUCCGCUGCAUACAACAUUGAGUGGUAUCUAGCGCCCAUAAACAUACAAAA
rnacentral:misc_RNA from 1 species